rnacentral:lncRNA from 1 species
UCAUGCCCCGAUCCUCCGGCACGCACACAUCCUUCUCACUUGGUCGAUUAUAUAAUGCGAUAUCCCAGGACUAUGUAUCGCCGACCCUUUCUCUUUAUUAAGCACAUGCGGAAGCAGUUAAAAUCCUCGGACAAUAAAACGAUGGGAUAGAAAAGCAGGGCCAUAUUUUUCAUAUUGAAACUUAUAACCAAACUUUUAUACAAAACACAACCCAUAGCACUUCACAACUUUUUACUCUAUCUCUAUUCACAUCAAAAUGGAGAUCUCAGAAUCUCAAUCCCUCUGGGCCGUACUCAAGGCCCCUCUCGGGAUUAUCUUCUUCUUCCAAAAAUCAUUCUCCUUAAGUUUCACCUCCGAGUUCUCCUUCUCAGACUUCUCCUCAUCAGCUCCUCAUCGGGGUCCUGAAAUGUUUUCCCCAAAUUGGGAUGAGACUACGUCUCAGCGAGUUCUACUCCACUAAGCCCGAUUAGUAAACCAUUAUACUACAGGCUGCCUAAACACACACAGGGCAGAAGACGUACCUUGGCCUUAGAUCCCACCUGCAAAUCAGUACAAUUCAUAAUAGGCACCUAAGCAAUCAUAUCACCGAUCAAAGCAUCGAUCAAAUCGACCUAGUCGAUUAAAUGCCAACGAGACCACUCACGGUCAUUUCCAUUCAGUCAAUCAAUUCACAACAUCAAAUCAAAGUAAUGAUCAAUCGACCUCGUCGAUUACAUAUCAGACGAACCAUUCUAGGUCAAUUCGAUUAUUCCAUCUCAAUCAUCAAUUACGAACUACGAUCCUCAUAUCACAUCUUAAGCAAAGGUGGAAGACACAGUCCACCACUCGACCACUUUCGAUACUCAAUGGUUUUACGGUCCCACUCGACCACUUUCGAUAAUCAAUGCACAUAAAUACGGCCACGUAGGCACAAUCUACGCCACACAGGCAUGAUCAACUAUCGCCACACAGGCAUGAUCAAUUAUAGCCACACAUGCAUGAUCAACUAUCGACAAUUUACGAGCAUUCUCUAAGGCAACCUUUUUGCCAAGAUGACAUAUUCAACCACUGAAUACACGUGCAUUCUCCAGGUGACAUUCCGAUUCACUGAGCCCACGUAUUUCCUUUUAGGUGAUAACCAAUACCCAACGAUUGCUCAAUCAAAUAAUUAACCAUCAAGUCAAUAUGAAUAACUCGUAAAAAUUCAUAAUUAAAUCAAUUCCAUACAAAUUGAUGCUCAAUUAAAUAAACGGACUGCGCCACGAUGAUCAGCACGAGAUUUCGAUCGUUGGCCAUCUCACUCUUAAUUUCCGAAAAAUAAAUAAUUAAUUAAUUAAUUUCGAAGAUUAAUAAUUAAUUACAAUAAAUCAAAUUUAGCUCAAAAUUAAGCUCAAUUAAAUAAACGAGCCGCACCACGAUCAUCAGCAUACAAAUUCGAUCACGGGCCAUCCGAGUUGAAUUUCCGGAAAUUAAUUAAUUAAUUAAUUAAUUUCGAGAAUUAAUAAUUAAUUAUAAUAAAUCCAAUUUAGCUCAAAUUGGUGCUCAGUUAAAUAAACAGACUUCACCAUGGCCACCAGCAUAAAAUUCUGGUUCCAAACCAUCUCAGUUGAAUUUUCAGAAAAUAAAUAAUUAUUUAAUUUAAUUCCGAAAAUUAAUAUUUAAAUACUAAAAAUCCACUUAGGCCCGAAAAGCCUAAUUGAAGCCCACGAAGGGUCGGGAAAAAUCUCGACAUGCUUUCAAUAAUUAGUAGACCACGUUUACUUGCUAAUUACACAAUUAAUUUAUCUAAAUCACAUCACAAUUGACUAAUAAUUGCUAAUUUAUUCUAAUAUAACAACCUAAACAUUAUUAAUUAAAACUAAACCAACCUUAAGCAUAAUUAGCUCAUUAAUCCUGGAUUAGUGAGAUUACUCACCAAAUCGCGCGCAAAUUGGAUCAAUCCGACGGGGGCGACGCGAGGAACAAAACUUCCCAAAGCACGGCUCGGGUUCGGGGCCCGGAAACGGCCCAAAAACGGGCCCGAACCAGCUGGAAACCCAUUUCGUGGGUUGCUGGUUUGGCCUGGCCAAGGCUGAUCCGGCGGCUAGGAUGCCGAGGGGAGGCCGGCGGAGAGCAAGGGGGACGCCGGGGAGGUCCGGCGGGGUUGAACGGCGGCCGGAGGUGGCCGGGCAAGGGCGGAACAGGGGCUGAGCAGAGCUGAAUCGAGCGGGGGAGAGGCGUCUGGGCGGAGGAAAGGGCAGGCGGUGCACGGCGGCGAGCGGCGGACGCACGGCGUGCAGUGCGGUGGCGGGACGGGCGGCGACGGUGGCUGGCUGCUGCUUCCGAUCUUCUUCAACUUCUGGUUCGCUGCUUUCACGAAGAAGAAAGAAGGAGAAGAAGAAAGAGUUCGGUCACGUGGGGAUGGGGGAGAAGAGAGAGGAGAGAGAAGAAGAGAUAAGGGAGAAAGCCUUGACUAGUCAAAGAAGAGAGAGAGAAGUCGGUG